rnacentral:rRNA from 1 species
GAUGAACGCUGGCGGCGUGCCUAACACAUGCAAGUCGAACGGAGAUUCCGGACGGAAGUUUUCGGAUGGAAGCCUGUAAUUCUUAGUGGCGGACGGGUGAGUAACGCGUGGGCAACCUGCCCUAUACAGGGGGAUAGCAGCUGGAAACGGCUGGUAAGACCGCAUAAGUCGGUUAAAUCGCAUGAUUUGAUCGGGAAAUGAGCAAUCAGGUAUAGGAUGGGCCCGCGUCCGAUUAGCCAGUUGGCAGGGUAAAAGCCUACCAAAGCGACGAUCGGUAGCCGGACUGAGAGGUCGGACGGCCACAUUGGGACUGAGACACGGCCCAAACUCCUACGGGAGGCAGCAGUGGGGGAUAUUGCACAAUGGAGGAAACUCUGAUGCAGCGACGCCGCGUGAGUGAAGAAGUAUUUCGGUAUGUAAAGCUCUAUCAGCAGGGAAGAUGAUGACGGUACCUGACUAAGAAGCCCCGGCUAACUACGUG